GGUUCUGCUGCCAGAUUGCGGUGGGCUGGCUGGAGCAUAAGGGAGAAGAUGAAUGCCAUGGAUGGUCUUCAUGACAGCAAAGACCUGGCAGCCUGAAGUGGCACACCUGAAGAUGUACAAGUUCGGUCAGGAUCGGCUUAGACAGCAGGACAAAACCCCCAAACAUCUAGA